CCUACGGGAGGCAGCAGUGGGGAAUAUUGCACAAUGGGGGAAACUCUGAUGCAGCGACGCCGCGUGAGUGAAGAAGUAAUUCGUUGUGUAAAGCUCUAUCAGCAGGGAAGAAAAUGACGGUACCUGAGUAAGAAGCCCCGGCUAACUACGUUCCAGCAGCCGCGGUAAUACGUAGGGGGCAAGCGUUAUCCGGAUUUACUGGGUGUAAAGGGAGCGUAGCCGGCUGUGCAAGUCUGGAGUGAAAGGCGGGGGCUCAACCCCCGGACUGCUCUGGAAACUGUACGGCUGGAGUGCAGGAGAGGUAGGUGGAAUUCAUAGUGUAGCGGUGAAAUGCGUAGAUAUUAGGAGGAACACCAGUGGCGAAGGCGGCUUACUGGACUGUAACUGACGUUGAGGCUCGAAAGCGUGGGGAGCAAACAGGAUUAGAUACCCGGGUAGUC
rnacentral:rRNA from 1 species